rnacentral:lncRNA from 1 species
AUUUAACAAAACUUGUGAAAAAAGUAUUAAUCAAUGAAAAGAUUAAAUCAUCUUAAAACAUUGCAAUUAAACAUAUCGAUAUUUAACAUGUAUCAAAUCAAAUAUGUAAGAAUUAAAAAAUGGUCUUGUUAACUAGUGCCCCCGGAACACUAGUUAAGGAACUAAAAAUAGAAAGAAAAGUCAAAUUUAAUAGUAGUUUCUCCAAUCGUUCUUGCCAUGGGGUACGUCUACUCUUCGUGGAUGAAUCCAUGGUCUUCCAUUAUGAUGUUGAACGCACAAAGUUGAUACGAGGUUUCAUUAUAAUCAAUUUACCAACUAAGCCAACCUUUGACCCCAAAGAUGACAAAACCCUAAAUAUACUUGAACAAGAUCACCUCAAACUUGAACCAAAUCCAAAUUCUUUAAGUUUGGACCCUUAACCCUUCAAAUCUUCAAUCAUAUGAGAUCCUUCAACUAAAUAUACUUGAACAAGAUCACCUCAAACUUGAAUCAAAUCCAAUUUCUUUAAGUUUGGACCCUCAACCCUUCAAAUCUUCAACCAUGUGAGAUCCUUCGACAAUCUUCAUCAUGAUCCCUAGCUUGUAAAGGAUAAAAUAUAGCCUUAUUGCAUCCUUUAGAAUCUUGAGCAAUCAAAUUCCUCGGAAGAAUCAAACUGUUAAAUAACCUACAAUUGUCCCUAUGAGUAAUGAGAGAGAAAGGUAAUGAAUGAUUUCAGCAUUUAGAAGAAAAAAAAAAUGAGGAAAUGUUAUAUUUAUAGUUUGAGAGUCUUGGUGAAAACGAAACCUGGUAUUUAGAGGAAAAUAUAUUGUCUUAAUCGAUUCACACUUAUGUUGAAUCAAUUCAGAUGUGUAAAAUUGAACAUGGAGAACGUUUGAAGAUUGAGUCGAUUCACAUGAAAAUCAAAUCGAUUCAGAUGAACUCUAUGUGUAUUGAAUCGAUUCAAUGAAACCUAGUAACAACAGAGCGUGUUGGAGAAAUCCUA